AAACCGUGAUGUGGGCACUCCCUGCGGUAGAUGUUGAAUCGCUCCGAUGCGUCGCAGAACGGCUCAUCUACCAGCUGUUUAAAGGUGGCGAUCUUCUGUCUCAGAGC
rfam:Brassica napus, WGS project CCCW01000000 data, contig: 39383